GGUGUCAUCAGCUUCAUUGUUAUCCUGGUGGUGGUGGUGAUCAUCCUGGUCAGUGUGGUCAGCCUGAGGUUCAAGUGUAACCGCUCCAAGGAGGAAGACAAACAGAAACCAGGAGGCUCCAUGAUAUCAGAGAGCUGCUCAGCAGACACGAGCCAGAAGGACAACAGCAUCACUCUGAUCUCCAUGAAGAACAUCAACAUGAACAACAGCAUGAGUUACCCACCAUCAGAAAAGGUGCUAUGAAGAGCCCAGAGAAUGAAGCUGAGACAUCACAACCAGCAGUGACUUUCUAGGUUCUUUUUCUUUUUUUUCCUUUGUGGAAAGAGCGAGGGUGGAUUUUAUAUAUAAAUUAUUAUGUCCUUUCUGAUCAAUACAUAUAGUGUCCUAUAUAGCUUCCCCACCUGGGGCCUAAGGGCUUUCUCCAGUUACAGCCUGCCAUGCUCAGUGGUUGAUAUCUAACUCUAUUUUUGAGAUGCCUUCAAACACUCAGAAUAAAUCCAGCAGCAAGAAGCACCAAGGCACCACCUACUUCACUAAUGGCCUUUACAGUCUGUGCCAGGCAGUCACGGGCUCGUUAAUCAGCACAGCCCCAUGUCAAGUCAAAGCUGCGUGUUAGGAAAGCCUGAUCUGAAGACCUGAGGAGACUUAAAUGGCCAAGUUCUAGGUCAAAUCCCAGUAUGAUACUCCAAGCCCCUUAUCCCUGGUGCCCUCAUUGUCCCCACAGUGGUGGGGAUGACCACACCCACCUGCCUCACAGGGUUGUUGUGAGGCUACAUUAGUCUGUAUAGCAUUUGGAGAGCCGUGAAUUAAAGGUGCUGCUGAAAUACAAUUUGCCGUCUUAAAGACUUUAUUAUUAAUACCUGAGCUUCAGGCAGGCAGAUCACUGCCUUCUCACGUGCUUAAACACUCAUCUGAAGUGUGAGGAAUGAAGUCUCUGCAUAAACAGGGGUUUAGCUGAGUGUAAAACCCAGUGGCCACAUGCAAAAUGCUGAGCUACUUGAGCUCCUGGAGUCUGGCAGCGCGAGUGUGCUUGGGAGAGCCUCCGUCGUCUCCACCACUG